rnacentral:rRNA from 1 species
GGCAGAGUAAGUAGAUAGUGAAAGCGUGUGGCUCAACCAUACAUCCAUUAUCUAAACUGCUCAGCUAGAGGAUGAGAGAGGUUAUUGGAAUUCCCAGUGUAGGAGUGAAAUCCGUAGAUAUUGGGAGGAACACCGAUGGCGUAGGCAGAUAACUGGCUCAUUCCUGACACUAAGGCACGAAAGCGUGGGGAGCAAACGGGAUUAGAUACCCCGGUAGUCCACGCCGUAAACGAUGGAUGCUAGCUGUUCAAGGUAUCGACCCCUUGUGUAGCGAAGCUAACGCGUUAAGCAUCCCGCCUGUGGAGUACGAUCGCAAGAUUAAAACAUAAAGGAAUUGACGGGGACCCGCACAAGCGGUGGAGCGUGUUGUUUAAUUCGAUGGUAAGCGAAGAACCUUACCCAGGCUUGACAUCCUUGGAAGCACUGCGAAAGCAGAGUGUGCCUUUUGGAACCAAGUGACAGGUGUUGCAUGGCCGUCGUCAGCUCGUGUCGUGAGAUGUUUGGUUAAGUCCAUCAACGAGCGCAACCCUUAUAGUUAGUUGUAUUUCUCUAGCUAGACUGCCCUGGUAACAGGGAGGAAGGAGGGGAUGAUGUCAGGUCAGUA